UGCAGGUCUCUCUUCAAACAGAAUCUUUAAGUGAAUAUGUCUCACCAUCUCCUUUAAGGAUGGAGGAAGAAACAUGGGAUGUUAAGAGGCCUCGUAGGAUUGGAGAUUGAACCAAUAGCCUAUUUCUUGUGGACUCCACUUUUAAUAAGUUUCAACAGUUGUAAGAAAGAGGAUGGAACAAGCUGAUGACCUGACACCCUGGAGCCAUAGAGUUUCCAUGGAUCUUCCAAAGAAAUGAACAAAGCACAGUAUUCAGUCAAGCCACACUUGUGUGGUCAGCUCCAUGAAGCCAUGCUCAGGUGAUGAGAACUCAUUGAAAUGCUGCAGAAAAGAAAGGAGGACAGAGCAUACUAGUGGAGGGAGAGGAGGAUCACAACCAAGAGAUUAAGUAGACAAAUUCACAUGGAUUACACCAUUGGAAUGAUAACAUGAACACUGACACCAGAUUGGAGCUUCUCCAUGCCAGCAUGUCAACAGUGCCAGGAAGUAAAAUGUGCUUCAUUAAAAACCCACAGCAAAACCCAAACUGUGCCCAAAACUCAUUUGCAAACACAGAGUGCAGCUGCUUUCAAGCCACCGCCUAGCUCUCCUGACAAGAGGGAGUGUUCACAGCACAGCAGGCCUGAGUGAGCGCCAAGGGGAAGGAAAAUGAUUUAGGAGGAAAAGAGGAAAACAACAAAAUGAUUUCCCGAUUGAGGAA